rnacentral:rRNA from 1 species
CAUCUAAGGAAGGCAGCAGGCGCGCAAAUUACCCAAUCCUAAUACAGGGAGGUAGUGACAAGAAAUUACAAUACAGGACUUUUUGGUUUUGUAAUUGGAAUGAGUUAAGUAUAAACCCCUUUACAAGUAUCAAUUGGAGGGCAAGUCUGGUGCCAGCAGCCGCGGUAAUUCCAGCUCCAAUAGCGUAUAUUAAAGUUGUUGCAGUUAAAAAGCUCGUAGUUGGAUUUCUGUUAAUAAUUUAUAUAAAAUAUUUUAAUUAAUAUUUAUAUAAUAUUAACAUAAUUCAUAUUACUAUAAUUAUUUUUUAGUAUAUGAAAUUUUACUUUGAGAAAAUUAGAGUGCUUAAAGCAGGCAUAUGCCUUGAAUACUCCAGCAUGGAAUAAUAUUAAAGAUUUUUAUCUAUCUUAAUGGUUCUAACAUAAGAAUAAUGA